rnacentral:rRNA from 1 species
GAUGAACGCUGGCGGCGUGCCUAAUACAUGCAAAUCGAGCGAACGGACGAGAAGCUUGCUUCUCUGAUGUUAGCGGCGGACGGGUGAGUAACACGUGGAUAACCUACCUAUAAGACUGGGAUAACUUCGGGAAACCGGAGCUAAUACCGGAUAAUAUUUUGAACCGCAUGGUUCAAAAGUGAAAGACGGUCUUGCUGUCACUUAUAGAUGGAUCCGCGCUGCAUUAGCUAGUUGGUAAGGUAACGGCUUACCAAGGCAACGAUGCAUAGCCGACCUGAGAGGGGGAUACGCAACCAGGGAAAUGAGCAAGGAUCGAACAUCCGCCGGAGGAGAACAGGUGGGAAUCUUCAUAAAAGGGCGAAACCCUAACGGAGACACGGCGCGUGGGUGAAGAAGGUUUUGGGAUGUGAAAACGUGGUUAUGGGGGAAGAACUUAUUAGUAUAUAACUGAGAACAUCUGGGAUGGCCCGAAACAAAGAGCAGCGGCUAGUCGCGG